GCAGACACAUUCCAGCCAAUCAGCAGCAGACCCUCCCUCCCAGACCCUCCUACCUCCGGGACAGCAUCCAUUUUACAUUUAUUGUGAGCUGUCCAGGAGGUGGGAGGGUCUGGGAGGGAGGGUCUGCUGUUGAUUGGCUGGAAUGUGUCUG